AUGAGAUGUUGGGAAUUGCCACUAACUACUACAAGGAGCUCUUUAAGAAAGAGAGUAGGGAAGGUUUUAGCAUUCAAUGACUUCUUCUACUUAGAAGAGAGAGUGAAAGAUCUAGAUAACCAAGCUCUCCAAAAAUCUUUUUCUGAGGAAGAGGUGAGAGAGGCCAUUUUUGGAUCAUACUCUGAUGGAGCUCCUGGUCUAGAUGGACUCUCUUUCCUCUUCCUCCAGAACUUCUGGGAAACCAUUAAACAUGAUAUUGUGGCAAUGUUUGAUGAUUUUCAUAAAGUAAAGCUUGACAUUUACAGGCUAAAUUUUGCAAUGCUAACUCUUAUACCUAAAGAGAAAGAUGCUACUAGCAUGAAAAAAUUUAGGCCUAUCAGUCUCUUAAACUGUAUUUUUAAAGAUUUUACUAAAGUUCUCACAAAUAGAUUAGCAUUAUUGAUGAAUACUCUCACCUCUAGCAACCAAACCACCUUUAUCAAAGGCAGGUAUAUCCUUGAAAGUGUGGUUACU
rnacentral:rRNA from 1 species